rnacentral:rRNA from 1 species
UACGUAGGGGGCAAGCGUUGUCCGGAAUCAUUGGGCGUAAAGCGCGUGUAGGCGGCUCGGUAAGUCUGCUGUGAAAGUCCAGGGCUCAACCCUGGGAUGCCGGUGGAUACUGUCGAGCUCGAGUCCGGAAGAGGCGAGUGGAAUUCCUGGUGUAGCGGUGGAAUGCGCAGAUAUCAGGAGGAACACCAAUGGCGAAGGCAGCUCGCUGGGACGGUACUGACGCUGAGACGCGAAAGCGUGGGGAGCAAACAGG